rnacentral:rRNA from 1 species
AUUGAACGCUGGCGGCAGGCCUAACACAUGCAAGUCGAGCGGCAGCGGGAAAGUAGCUUGCUACUUUUGCCGGCGAGCGGCGGACGGGUGAGUAAUGCCUGGGAAAUUGCCCAGUCGAGGGGGAUAACAGUUGGAAACGACUGCUAAUACCGCAUACGCCCUACGGGGGAAAGCAGGGGACCUUCGGGCCUUGCGCGAUUGGAUAUGCCCAGGUGGGAUUAGCUAGUUGGUGAGGUAAUGGCUCACCAAGGCGACGAUCCCUAGCUGGUCUGAGAGGAUGAUCAGCCACACUGGAACUGAGACACGGUCCAGACUCCUACGGGAGGCAGCAGUGGGGAAUAUUGCACAAUGGGGGAAACCCUGAUGCAGCCAUGCCGAGUGUGUGAAGCAGGCCUUCGGGUUGUAAAGCACUUUCAGCGAGGAGGAAAGGUUGAUGCCUAAUACGUAUCAACUGUGACGUUACUCGCAGAAGAAGCACCGGCUAACUCCGUGCCAGCCGCCGCGGUAAUAC